rnacentral:rRNA from 1 species
UACGUAGGUGGCAAGCGUUGUUCGGAAUUAUUGGGCGUAAAGGGCGCGUAGGCGGUUUGUUAAGUCAGCUGUGAAAGCCCGGGGCUCAACCCCGGAGGGUCAGUUGAUACUGGCAGACUAGAGUACAGAAGAGGUAACUGGAAUUCCCCGGUGUAGCGGUGAAAUGCGUAGAUAUCGGGAGGAACACCUGAGGCGAAGGCGGGUUACUGGGCUGAUACUGACGCUGAGGCACGAAGGUCAGGGGGAGCAAAACGGGG